CAACAGAUGCAAGAACGCGUCGCAGCGUUGUGACGUCACAUCAUGGGAUCGUGAUAAGAGUCCUAUUCCCAUGCUGUGUCUGAAAUGACAGAAGUGCAUAGAUAUGUACCGACAAACAUAGGAUUUUUUGGAUGGACCUGAAAUCAUGUCUCAAUAAUGGUUGGAGGUCAACAAAAUGGACUUUGGCAUGCGAAUUUCGCAUCUGGCUGCCACACCCCUCAGCGUGGGUAUAAGAGGCAGCAGGUGCACCACAUUAAUUCAUGGUUUUGCUGAGGAGCCGAGCCGGUGACCCGGCAGCUCAGCAGUGGUACAGCAGCUGUGGCGAUGGGAUGUGAUAUCUUCGCUCCCUCCAUCAGGGAACGAGGGUUUCAU